GUCGAGAAUCUUUCACAAUGGGGGCAACCCUGAUGGAGCGACGCCGCGUGGAGGAUAAGGUCUUCGGAUUGUAAACUCCUGUCAUGCGUGAACAAGGUUGCUUGGUUAAUACCUGGGCAAAUUGAUGGUAACGCAAGAGGAAGAGACGGCUAACUCUGUGCCAGCAGCCGCGGUAAUACAGAGGUCUCAAGCGUUGUUCGGAAUCACUGGGCGUAAAGGGUGCGUAGGUGGCGUGGUAAGUCAGAUUUGAAAGCCCGGGGCUCAACCUCGGAACUGCAUCCGAUACUGCCAUGCUAGAGUACUGGAGAGGUGACUAGAAUUCUCGGUGUAGCAGUGAAAUGCGUAGAUAUCGAGAGGAAUACCAAAGGCGUAGGCAGGUCACUGGACAGUUACUGACACUGAGGCACGAAGGCCAGGGGAGCGAACGGGAUUAGAUACCCUUGUAGUCC
rnacentral:rRNA from 1 species